GGAGUUAAGACUUCGGUUUUAACUUAGUGGCGAACGGGUGAGUAACGCGUGAGGAACCUGCCUCUCAGUGGGGGACAACAGUUGGAAACGACUGCUAAUACCGCAUAAUGUCAUGAACUGGCAUCGGUUUAUGACCAAAGAUUUAUUGCUGAGAGAUGGCCUCGCGUCUGAUUAGCUAGUUGGUGGGGUAACGGCCCACCAAGGCGACGAUCAGUAGCCGGACUGAGAGGUUGACCGGCCACAUUGGGACUGAGAUACGGCCCAGACUCCUACGGGAGGCAGCAGUGGGGAAUAUUGGGCAAUGGGCGAAAGCCUGACCCAGCAACGCCGCGUGAAGGAAGAAGGCCUUCGGGUUGUAAACUUCUUUUACCAGGGACGAACACAAUGACGGUACCUGGAGAAAAAGCAACGGCUAACUACGUGCCAGCAGCCGCGGUAAUACGUAGGUUGCAAGCGUUGUCCGGAAUUACUGGGUGUAAAGGGCGUGUAGGCGGAGAUGCAAGUUGGGAGUGAAAUCCAUGGGCUCAACCCAUGAACUGCUUUCAAAACUGCAUCCCUUGAGUAUCGGAGAGGCAAGCGGAAUUCCUAGUGUAGCGGUGAAAUGCGUAGAUAUUAGGAGGAACACCAGUGGCGAAGGCGGCUUGCUGGACGA
rnacentral:rRNA from 1 species